rnacentral:rRNA from 1 species
GUAGUCAGAGCCCGUUAAUGGGUGAUGGCGUGCCUUUUGUAGAAUGAACCGGCGAGUUACGAUUUGAUGCAAGGUUAAGCAGUAAAUGUGGAGCCGUAGCGAAAGCGAGUCUGAAUAGGGCGUUUAGUAUUUGGUCGUAGACCCGAAACCAGGUGAUCUACCCUUGGUCAGGUUGAAGUUCAGGUAACACUGAAUGGAGGACCGAACCGACUUACGUUGAAAAGUGAGCGGAUGAACUGAGGGUAGCGGAGAAAUUCCAAUCGAACCUGGAGAUAGCUGGUUCUCUCCGAAAUAGCUUUAGGGCUAGCCUCAAGUGAUGAUUAUUGGAGGUAGAGCACUGUUUGGACGAGGGGCCCCUCUCGGGUUACCGAAUUCAGACAAACUCCGAAUGCCAAUUAAUUUAACUUGGGAGUCAGAACAUGGGUGAUAAGGUCCGUGUUCGAAAGGGAAACAGCCCAGACCACCAGCUAAGGUCCCAAAAUAUAUGUUAAGUGGAAAAGGAUGUGGCGUUGCCCAGACAACUAGGAUGUUGGCUUAGAAGCAGCCAUCAUUUAAAGAGUGCGUAAUAGCUCACUAGUCGAGUGACACUGCGCCGAAAAUGUACCGGGGCUAAACAUAUUACCGAAGCUGUGGAUUGUCCUUUGGACAAUGGUAGGAGAGCGUUCUAAGGGCGUUGAAGCAUGAUCGUAAGGACAUGUGGAGCGCUUAGAAGUGAGAAUGCCGGUGUGAGUAGCGAAAGACGGGUGAGAAUCCCGUCCACCGAUUGACUAAGGUUUCCAGAGGAAGGCUCGUCCGCUCUGGGUUAGUCGGGUCCUAAGCUGAGGCCGACAGGCGUAGGCGAUGGAUAACAGGUUGAUAUUCCUGUACCACCUAUAAUCGUUUUAAUCGAUGGGGGGACGCAGUAGGAUAGGCGAAGCGUGCGAUUGGAUUGCACGUCUAAGCAGUAAGGCUGAGUAUUAGGCAAAUCCGGUACUCGUUAAGGCUGAGC